CACGUAGGGGGCAAGCGUUGUCCGGAUUCAUUGGGCGUAAAGAGCUCGUAGGCGGUUCGAUAAGUCGGGUGUGAAACCUCCAGGCUCAACCUGGAGACGCCACCCGAUACUGUCGUGACUAGAGUCCAGUAGGGGAGCGUGGAAUUCCUGGUGUAGCGGUGAAAUGCGCAGAUAUCAGGAGGAACACCAGUGGCGAAGGCGGCGCUCUGGGCUGGAACUGACGCUGAGGAGCGAAAGCGUGGGGAGCGAACGGG
rnacentral:rRNA from 1 species